UGGUCUUUCUACAUUAAUAUUAAAAAAUAAAAAAAAUAAUUAUCUAUAUCUAUAUCUAUCUAUCUAUACUAUAUUAUAAAGCAUUUCAUAAGGAUACCAACCAAAUUUAAGUAAUUACAAUCUUUUAUACUUAUGGUACAACAACUUAAUGAUGUUAGUAAGGGGUGAAAUGGUCUUUCUACAUUAAUAUUAAAAAAUAAAAAAAUAAUUAAAUGAGAAUAUAAUCACAAUUAAUUAUAAUAAUACAAUAAUAAGUUCGGUUCUUAAAUGCAAUUAAUAAACGAAACCUAUUGGGAUAAACCGCAAAAGCACUCCAAAGGUCCAAUUUCAAUCAAUAUGUAAUAAAUUUGACCGAUUAAGGAAUCUCCUAUCAUUGCUAUAAAUUCACCAUUUCACUCAACAUCAACUCCUUUGUCUACUAUUGUGCGAGUUAGAGUCGAAAAGAAAGAGAUAAGAAAGAGAUAAGUUGAUAUGAAAUUUAUUUAUCUUGGUGGAAAGGUGUGUUCUUUUAUACCCAUUUCAACAUUUAUUCGAAAAAACUUUAGUUUGUUUCUUAAAAUAUUCAAAUGGGAUAACAGUUUUCUUUUACAUAAUCUAUGAGUUUAUAUUGAUGUUUUAUUAUGUUUUUGGUGAUUUAGUGGUUUUUUUUUUCAAAUUAUGAUUUUAUAUUACAUAUAAAGUAUACACACAGGUUAUUGGAUACAAAAAGACAGACACUUCAUACUUCAUCAAGGUACCCUUGCAUGACUAUACUUCAUGUAUAUGGAGGUGUAAAAGGGUGGGUACGAGAAAAGUUAUUCAUUUGGAGAUAGACAUUUAUUUGGCCUAUUGGCAAUAUAGAUGCAGAGGAAAUAUUUGAGGAGGUAUUGUUUGACAGGAUUGGGCAGCAAACUUUAAGGGCUCGGAUGUUUUCAACCCGCGCAAAAGAUUUAAAUUGAUUGCGUUUAUCUAUACUAUCGUAUAAAGCAUUUC
rnacentral:lncRNA from 1 species